UUGCCCUCCUGGAGCUUAUUUCCAAUAAUUAUUGGAUUAUUUCCCAAUAAUCUGUUGGGAAAGACAAGAUGGUCAAAACCGAGAAACUAGGAAAUGGUAAGAAGAAGAUGUGAUCAAGCACCACUGUGAUAUUAGAGUCUGUGUGCCUUCAUCACAGUGGAUUCUGACAUGGCUUUAAAGAGUGAGUGGGAAGUGAGCAGGUAGAGAGCCUUUGAGAAGUGCUGAGAACAGCAGGCGGCUAACAAAGUCUUCUUACAAGUGCGUGGGGCCCUUGUCGUGUGCCUGGAGCAUGCUAGAAAUUGUCUGCGCUGUGUGGUUAAUCCUCACAGUGAGUAAGGAAGGUGUUAUUCCGCAGAGCUGAGAAAGGAAGGCUCAGCUAGAUUAAGUGACGGGCCCAAGUUUACAGUUAGUGAGCGGAGGGCUGAGUCAAGGGAGAUCACAGGCCGUCUGUUCCCGAAGGACCUCAGGAGCGGGAAAGUGGUAUUGCAGGUAGGAAGACUUGAGUGCCAAGCCAAGGGGUUUGCGUGCACGUCUGCAGUGAAUCAUUCCUGUGAUCUAUUUUUCUGACUGCAAAACAUCAAACUGUUAAGGAAUUAUAAAUAGCACACAAAUCAAUCUGUGGCCUUGCUUCAUGCAGGUUCUUUAAAUCCCAGUAAUGAUUUAACAGGCAAACAUGCCCAGUUCACCUGCCCGGGUGAAGUGCAGUGAUUCUCCUGCUGAGCGGUGAGUGAUUUCUUCCCUUAUUCCAACUGGGUGCUACGGUUCUUCUUUUUUUUUUUUUUUGCCUCGUUACUGAUCCUACACGUCUUUCCAGUAGCUUCUGUUUAUCUUGUGCAUUGGAUAUGCCUCUGGUGAUUUUCUUUCUGCCUUGUUCGCUGGGGUGGCGUCUGGAAAUGUGAUCAGGCAGAGGGUGAACAGCCUCACAGAAGCGUCCUGCUUUCCAAAUGAGCCACGGGUUGCAGAGAUCUCAGGGGCUUCCUCCACCAAUAAAACAUAGAACCAGUCUUGCCA
rnacentral:lncRNA from 1 species